GCCAGGCGAGCGCGCCACCGCUUGAGCCACAUCCCCAGCCCCUGUUUUGUAAAUUUUUUAAACUGUUUAUAAUACCUCUGUUACAUAAGCUUUUAGUGGUUCUAAAGUACUCUCUUCUAUGACUAAUAUCAGUUAAGAUGCUUUUAACUAGAGGUAACAUUGUCCAAAUGGCUUAAGUAACCAAGGAUAUUUAUUAUAUAACAUAUAAUAAAUGUCAGAGGUGUCAUUAAGGAUUUUUUUUUGGGGGGGCCCUCAAUUUAUUGAUUUUGCCUUAGGCUCAUCUCAUUCCCCAGCAUAAUGCUUCUAAAAAUGCUUCAUAAAACUUCUAGUUUUAUAUCUUCCUAAAAUUGUAUCUACAAGGCAGGAAAGACCAUUUUUCCUGUAACAUUGAUUUUAUGGUAUGGAAGAUUUCUAAUAGCCUCCAAACUAUUUUCCCUCAUUUUUCAUCAACUCAGAUUUGGUCAUAGAGAAAGCUAACAUCUGACAUUUUUUGCCUCUGUUAGAAGUAGAUUCUAUUGGAAAGGAAAAAGCUAAAGGAGAUUUGGGAUUAUGGCAUUGAGGUGAAGCCCACUGCCUGGCAUAAGAAAGAUGUGCCAUAAUGUACUUAUUUUCUUUUGUGUUAGGCAUUUUGAUUGUCUGCAUUAUGUUACUGUAAGUGGUGCCGUGAAUGUCCUAGUACAUUUUGAGGCACAUGCUUAAUUAUGUCUUCUAAGAAAGUUUUUAGAACUGGAGUGACUGACUGAAAGGGCUUAAACAUUUUUAGAGCUUUGAUAAGUAUUAGCAUAUUGUUCUUCAAAAAAAGCUCUCCAAUUUACACUUCCAUUUAGUAGUGUAUGUGUGACCAUGCCUAUCUGUAUACUCCCUGGUCAACUGUAGGCAUUAUCUAUUAUUUUUUUCCCCUGUAUUUAAUCUUUGUCAGUAUAACCGAAGAAUGUUGUGUCAUUUUAAAAAAUUUGUAUUUCUUGCAUUACAAAUGAGGUUGAUAAAAAAACAUUACUGGUUAUUUGUAUUCCUUUUUUAAUGAUCCUAUUGUUCA
rnacentral:lncRNA from 1 species